rnacentral:rRNA from 1 species
GGGGGGGCAAGCGUUUGUUCGGAUUUACUGGGCGUAAAGGGCUCGUAGGCGGCCACCUAAGUCGGUUGUGAAAUCCCUCGGCUUAACCGGGGAACUGCGACCGAUACUGAGUGGCUUGAAGCCGGGAGAGGGAUGCGGAAUUCCAGGUGUAGCGGUGAAAUGCGUAGAUAUCUGGAGGAACACCCGUGGCGAAGGCGGCAUCCUGGACCGGUCUUGACGCUGAGGAGCGAAAGCUAGGGGAGCGAACGGGAUUAGAUACCCCGGUAGUCCUAGCCCUAAACGAUGAAUGCUUGGUGUGCGGGUAUCGAUCCCUGCCCGUGCCGUAGCUAACGUGUUAAGCAUUCCGCCUGGGGAGUACGGUCGCAAGGCUG